AGAAUGGUGCCACAGACAGCUGUGUGACCUCAUCACCUCACACAGGUCAACAUUUUGAGACCAAAGAUGAUGCAGCCCAGAAUGGUGCCACAGACAGCUGUGUGACCUCAUCACCUCACACAGGUCAACAUUUUGAGACCAAAGAUGAUGCAACCCAGAAUGGUGCCACAGACAGCUGUGUGACCUCAUCACCUCACACAGGUCAACAUUUUGAGACCAAAG